UCCUACGGGGGGCAGCAGUGGGGAAUAUUGCACAAUGGGGGAAACCCUGAUGCAGCGACGCCGCGUGAAGGAAGAAGUAUCUCGGAAUGUAAACUUCUAUCAGCAGGGAAGAUAAUGACGGUACCUGACUAAGAAGCCCCGGCUAACUACGUGCCAGCAGCCGCGGUAAUACGUAGGGGGCAGGCGUUAUCCGGCUUUACUGGGUGUAAAGGGAGCGUAGGUGGCAGGGCAAGU
rnacentral:rRNA from 1 species